CAGCAGCCACGGGAACACGGAGGGUGCAAGCGUUAAUCGGAAUUACUGGGCGUAAAGCGCACGCAGGCGGUUUGUUAAGUCAGAUGUGAAAUCCCCGAGCUUAACUUGGGAACUGCAUUUGAAACUGGCAAGCUAGAGUCUUGUAGAGGGGGGUGGAAUUCCGCGUGUAGCAGUGAAAUGCGUAGAUAUGCGGAGGAACACCGAUGGCGAAGGCAGCCCCCUGGGCCAACACUGACGCUCAUGCACGAAAGCGUGGGGAGCAAACAGGAUUAGAUACCCGCGUAGUCCCUGUCUCUUAUAC
rnacentral:rRNA from 1 species